AAAACAAUCAUAGGCCAUCACAGUCAGAAGCAUGUCAUCCAUACAUCCAAAAAGGACAAAAAGAGACAUCUGUGUCAGGCAGCCCCCAUAGGAGAUGACCCUGAUGUGAGUAAGGAGGUCCACAAUCAACUUUGGGACUAUAGAGGAGGUGAAAUAGAUGCCAGCCAAGGACAGGUUGGAGAGGAAGAAGUACAUGGGGGUGUGGAGGUGGGAGGCAGAGAUGACAGCCAGGAUGUUGAGCAGGUUCCUGAGCACUGUGACCAGGUAGAUGGACAGGAUCAGUCCAAAGAGGACUGGGUGCAGGUCUGGAUCAUCUGAGAAGGUCAUGAGAUAGAACUCUGAGACACAUUUCAGAACACUGGAAUCAAAGAAACUCCCAAGGCCCUGGCUGAGCCCCAGUCUUCCUAAUUCUAACCAACAGAUUUUCACAUCAAUUUCUACUGAAAUUUGAGACAGUGCCCUGGUUUGAAAUGCAGCAAAUCAACACUGAAGUCUCUAUGACUGACUGGCUACCAUGUACAGGGUGUGUGUACAUCCCGCCCCUCUUGGUGCUCUUGCUGCUUAAGAGACAGUGGGAAAAUUUCAUCUAUCUCCAAAGCCUGUGUAGCAUAUAAGGAAUAUUUGGAAUUUAAUAAAAUG
rnacentral:lncRNA from 1 species